GAUGAACGCUAGCGGGAGGCCUAACACAUGCAAGCCGAGCGGGAUUUGAGACUAGCUUGCUAGUCUUAAUGAGAGCGGCGUACGGGUGCGGAACACGUGUGCAACCUGCCUUUAUCUGGGAGAUAGCCUUUCGAAAGGAAGAUUAAUAUCCCAUAAUGUAAUGAUUGGCAUCAAUUAUUAUUGAAAGCUCCGGCGGAUAGAGAUGGGCACGCGCAAGAUUAGAUAGUUGGUGAGGUAACGGCUCACCAAGUCGAUGAUCUUUAGGGGGCCUGGGCGGGUGAUCCCCCACACUGGUACUGAGACACGGAACAGACUCCUACGGGAGGCAGCAGUGAGGAAUAUUGGACAAUGGGUGAAAGCCUGAUCCAGCCAUCCCGCGUGAAGGAUUAGGGACCUAUGGUUUGUAAACUUCUUUUCUACAGGGAUAAACCUACUCUCGUGAGAGUAGCUGAAGGUACUGUAGGAAUAAGCACCGGCUAACUCCGUGCCAGCCGCCGCCGUAAUAC
rnacentral:rRNA from 1 species